GAUUAAAAUGAGAGGAAAUGCGCUUAAAUCAAAACAGAAGAAAAUGUGGCAACAUGAAAGAAAGAACUUUUGACCAUCAAUACAAGGCUGAUACCUCUUGUGGGGAUUAGAGACUUCAUUCCAAGACUGCUAUGAGAUAUCCCUACAUUUGGGCACUGAAUGACAAGCCUGUAUCACCAGUACCAUGAACUGGAUCAGAGAAACAGAAGUUAACAAAAACCUUUCAUCUGAGCUCCACGCCACUCACAAAAAGGAUUCCCGGAGCUGCUGGGAUAGAUAACAACUGGCAGGGCUUACAAAAAUAGCUCCGAUAAGGCCACGUACAUGCAGAAAUUAUGACUCUUUAAUAUAACAGCCAUGUUCUACUCAAGUCUAUUCAAAACACUAGAGAAAAAGUCAUGUGGACCAGCAAAGGGAGGAAAGAUAAAAUUGGUAGAAGAAAAAGGUACCUUGAGAUUCUUCAGAUGGAAUUGCUAACAAUGGCAAGGCGGCAAGGCAAAAGCCAACAGGAUGAAUGGAGUCCCCAAACGCAGAACCUGGCACAUCCUACUAAUGCAAAUAAAACCAUGGCUUCGGGGCAAGCUUUGCUCUGCUCUCUGGACAAGAAGGAAAAUCAGGGCCAAAGAAGAGAAUAACCACGGAUGGUAAUGGAGCUGUCACAGAGAAGAGAGAAGUGGAAAUUCAUGGUUCUCUUGUGAGGCAAAGACAUCUGUGUUAUUGCACCCUAAGCCAAUAGUUUUUAAAACAAAGUCAUAAAACAAGCUACUGUAUAUAACAGGGAUGGAAAAUAUGUGGAGCUUUCCUCCGCCCUUUACAGGUCUCUGAGAAGAAAAAAGAAUGAGACCAAUGACUGGGAAUGAAAGAAGCAGGAGCUGCCAGCAGGAGGGUGCAUGGCUCCCACCUUCCAAAGGAACAGGGACUGCUUGUGCUAAAAGGAAUCAAAUAGCCAAACCCAUGUCAGAGGCAACAUCGAUGGUGAGGCAGCAGGAAGGGCACAGCCUGUUUCCCUAACCUCUGGCUAGAAAACCAGAGUGAUGAUAGGUGGUUCCCCUCCUUUGCCCUUCUAUUGUCCUGACUCCAUACUUCAGGUUCCUGUCUGGGGCCCUCUAGAUCCAAAUUCUGUACCAUUGUUGGGUGCUCAAUAAAUAUUUCUUUAUUAU